rnacentral:rRNA from 1 species
GACGAACGCUGGCGGCGUGCUUAACACAUGCAAGUCGAACGGAAAGGCCCUGCUUUUGUGGGGUGCUCGGGUGGCGAACGGGUGCGUAACAGGUGAGUAACCUGCCCUUGACUUUGGGAUAACUUCAGGAAACUAGGGCUACUACCGGAUAGGAUCUCCUGCUGGAUGGUGGGGGUUGGAACGUUUCGGCGGUUGUGGAUGGACGCGCGGCUUAUCAGCUUGUUGGUGGGGUAGUGGCAUACCAAGGCAUUGGCGGGUAGCCGGCCUGUGAGGGUGACCGGCCACAAGGGGACUGAGAGACGGCCCAGACGCCUACGGGAGGCAGCGGUGGGGAAUAUUGUACAGUGGGCGGAAGCCUGAUGCAGCAGCGCCGCGUGCGUGAUGACGGCCUGCGGGUUGUAAACCGCUGUCGCCUGUGACGAAGCGUGAGUGACGGUAAUGGGUAAAGAAGCACCGGCUAACUACGUG